rnacentral:tRNA from 1 species
CCGCCCGUAGCUCAGCUGGAUAGAGCGGCCCCCUCCUAAGGGGCAGGCCAGAGGUUCGAAUCCUCUCGGGCGGACCA